rnacentral:rRNA from 1 species
UACAGAGGGUGCAAGCGUUGUUCGGAAUUAUUGGGCGUAAAGCGCGUGUAGGCGGCAUUACAAGUCGGGUGUGAAAGCCCUCAGCUUAACUGAGGAAGUGCGCCCGAAACUGUAGAGCUUGAGUACCGGAGAGGAUGGUGGAAUUCCCCAAGUAGAGGUGAAAUUCGUAGAUAUGGGGAGGAACACCGGUGGCGAAGGCGACCAUCUGGACGGAUACUGACGCUGAGACGCGAAAGCGUGGGUAGCAAACAGG